rfam:Glossina palpalis gambiensis Glossina_palpalis_gambiensis-2.0.1-2176.1, whole genome shotgun sequence.
AGGUCCCACCAUCAAGAGUGUGCUAGCGACAACCAGCUUUCGCGAAGUAAUACCUAACUGUGGUCCCGCGGCGGAGUGUGGUAGAUGUGUGUGUGAGGGGGUAGUUUUUAGUACGUAGAAGUCGUAUUUGCUGCUACUAAGAACUAGCAGUAUCUUUUGAAGAUUUUCUACCUCCUGCCCGC